AACAAUUAAAUAAACCUAAAUUAUUUAAUGGGGCCUACAUGUCAUCUACUACUAGACUAACCUAGCACUAAUUAAUACUACUUAGUAAUACUUUUUUUUCGAUAGCACGCGAAAAGCGUGCCUUACUUUUAUAGAAGAGAGCAGAAAAGCAAUGUACAAGAGACCUUGGGUGAAUACAGACAAACCCCCAAGACCAACACCCCAACACACCCCCUAACUAAUGCAAGCCUACUGUCUCACAAAACCCAGCGAAACGUCCUUCUCCUAGGCCGGCCGCCUUCCACUCCCGCAACUCUCCAGUAAUAGACCUCGCCAAAUCCGGCGCAUUAAGCUGCUGGUUAGUUCUAUUAAAGACUCUCGCAUUACGCUGCUUCCAUAUAGCCCAAAUCACCGCAAUCACCACCGUUGCUGCUUCCAUAUAGCCCAAAUCACCGCAAUCACCACCGUGUCAAAGCCUCUCUUGGCGUCACGGCUCCAUCUUGCACGUUGUGCCAACCAUCAAUCCAAGAGUUGAUCCUGCACAUCCGGAAUGGUUGCCUGCAAGCCCAAAGCAUCAAACAUGAUAUGCCGCUAUCUAGUAAUACUAAUCUAAGCAUGCAUUAUUAGACUAGCUAGCCACAUGCACGGCGCGCACCUACACAGCCCUUCACACAGACACACACACACAAAGCACGCACACACACCACGUUGCACACACACGGCACGGCCAUGGCCUUUAGCAGGCACCAGCAGCAGAGCAACACUAGCAGUAGCAGCCGCGACAACUAGCGGGAGAAGCAGUAGUAAGCAGCAGCACCACGCAACAGUAGGCAAGAGCAGCGGCGGCGGCUAGGAAUAGCAGCAGCAGUAGGAAAAAGCAGCGCAGCAGCAUGCAUCAGUAGGCGGCGGUGAGAGCGGGAUGUUGCGGGGUGACGCCGACGCGACCGGGCGAAGGCAGGCGCGGCCCCGGCGGGCGCGGCCGGGGCCAGCGGGCGUGAAUGGCGGCGGCGGACAGGGCCAACAGCGGCGCAGCAGUAGACGACCUUGAGGCCAGGCGCGGGCGAGACGCAGCAAGCUAGGCGAGGCCGGAGGCGAGCAAGCGCGGCCAGGGCGUGGCCCAAACGUCCGGCAGCAGCAAGUAGGCAUGGCCAUGGGCAGCAGCACCACGUACGCGUACGCGGACGAGCUCGGAGAUGGCGGCUACGGCAACAAAUCAAGGGGGUAAUGAAGGAGGAUGGACGCGGCUCACUGCGAGGGAGGUCGUGGACGUGCUCGGAACCGCCGGGAGGCGUCGGUGGUGGAGAUCGACGGCGAUGGUGGGGGCGGCUGACAGGAGAAGACCGCGCGAUGGCGAGGCAGCAGGCCGUCCGAGCUCCAACCGAUAGGCGAUGGCGACGGAGACGACGAUGGCGGAGCUCCUGGACGUCUUGGCGCGACGAAGGGAGGCCGGUGGCCACGAGAUCGACGACGAUGACGACGACCGCGAGCUCGGCCUCUUCCAGGUCGUCGAAUAUGAGCGAGGGAGAGGGGGAUUUGGGGACUAGGGUUGUCUCAC
rnacentral:lncRNA from 1 species